rnacentral:rRNA from 1 species
AUUGCACGCUGGCGGCAGGCCUAACAAAUGCAAGUCGAGCGAGCGGCGGACGGGUGAGUAAUGUCUGGGAAACUGCCUGAUGGAGGGGGAUAACUACUGGAAACGGUAGCUAAUACCGCAUACCAUCAGAUGUGCCCAGAUGGGAUUAGCUAGUAGGUGGGGUAACGGCUCACCUAGGCGACGAUCCCUAGCUGGUCUGAGAGGAUGACCAGCCACACUGGAACUGAGACACGGUCUAGACUCCUACGGGAGGCAGCAGUGGGGAAGAUUGCACAAUGGGCGCAAGCCUGAUACAGCCAUGCCGCGUGUGUGAAGAAGGCCUUCGGUUUGUAAAGCACUUUCAGCGGGGAGGAGUUACCCGCAGAAGAAGCACCGGCUAACUCCGGGUCAGCAGCCGCGGUAAUUC